rnacentral:rRNA from 1 species
UACGUAGGUGGCAAGCGUUGUUCGGAAUUAUUGGGCGUAAAGGGCGCGUAGGCGGCCUGUUAAGUCGGCUGUGAAAGCCCGGGGCUCAACCCCGGAAAGUCGGCCGAUACUGGCAAGCUAGAGUACGGAAGAGGUAGCUGGAAUUCCCGGUGUAGCGGUGAAAUGCGUAGAUAUCUGGAGGAAUACCGGUGGCGAAGGCGGCAUCCUGGACCGGCAUUGACGCUGAGUGAGCGAAAGCCAGGGGAGCAAACGGG